CUUUAAUUGCAAGCUCCCUGAAAGGCCAACUUCAGCACUACCCAUUGCAUAGCCCUAUAUUGCUGAUACUGAAACAGCAGUUCCUACCAGCUCUAUGGUAGAUAUUAUCCUGAAGGGGAGGAUAAAGAAACUGGCCACCAAGAUGGUAAUCACUAGUGGAAAUGAAGAAGAUAAAGGCAGUCAAGAAAAGGAAAGCAAAGAAGAAACCAUCCUGGCAAUGCUUGGAAUUAUUGGGACAAUUCUAAAUCUCAUUGUGAUCAUUUUUGUGUACAUUUACACAACGUUGUAAACUAGGAGGCAUGCAAAUAGAACAGAUAAAACGGCCAUUAAGAGUGACAACAAACAUUGCUGACUAUUGACAAGUUGUUUAAUCAGAAUUGACUCUGUAUUAUAUUAACACAUCAUAAAAGCACUGCCUGCAGGCAGCGAAGGCUGAAGCACAAUUAAUUUAACAAGACUUCUUCACGCAGUAACAAGCUAAACUCUUCUGUCCUGCCCUCUUCCUUUCGCUUUGGUUUUCGGUUUGGGGGAAACAUGACUGCAAUUAUGUAAGUUGUAGCUUUGAAGAAAUCCACCUGGGUUAUGUUGUUUUAGCACAAUUUAAAAA